rnacentral:rRNA from 1 species
GAGUUUGAUCCUGGCUCAGGAUGAACGCUGGCGGCGUGCUUAACACAUGCAAGUCGAGCGAAGCGGCUGAAUUGAUUCUUCGGAUGAUUUUCAGUUGACUGAGCGGCGGACGGGUGAGUAACGCGUGGGUGACCUGCCCCAUACCGGGGGAUAACAGCUGGAAACGGCUGCUAAUACCGCAUAAGCGCACAGAGCUGCAUGGCUCGGUGUGAAAAACUCCGGUGGUAUGGGAUGGGCCCGCGUCUGAUUAGGCAGUUGGCGGGGUAACGGCCCACCAAACCGACGAUCAGUAGCCGGCCUGAGAGGGCGACCGGCCACAUUGGGACUGAGACACGGCCCAAACUCCUACGGGAGGCAGCAGUGGGGAAUAUUGCACAAUGGGGGAAACCCUGAUGCAGCGACGCCGCGUGAGCGAAGAAGUAUUUCGGUAUGUAAAGCUCUAUCAGCAGGGAAGAUAAUGACGGUACCUGACUAAGAAGCCCCGGCUAACUACGUGCCAGCCGCCGCGGUAAUCC